UUCCGGUUGAUCCUGCCGGAGGUCACUGCUAUCGGGGUCCGACUAAGCCAUGCGAGUUGUGUGUUCUUCGUGAGCACGGCAGACUGCUCAGUAACACGUGGACAACCUGCCCUUAGGUCUGGGAUAACCCCGGGAAACUGGGGAUAAUACCAGAUAGAUCAUAGAUGCUGGAAUGCCCUUUGAUCCAAAGUUCAGGCGCCUAAGGAUGGGUCUGCGGUCUAUCAGGUUGUAGUGGGUGUAAUGUACCUACUAGCCGACGACGGAUACGGGUUGUGAGAGCAAGAGCCCGGAGAUGGAUUCUGAGACACGAAUCCAGGCCCUACGGGGUGCAGCAGGCGCGAAAACUUUACAAUGCACGAAAGUGCGAUAAGGGGACCCCGAGUGUUGGUGCCUAGCAUCAACUGUCCAACUGUCUAAAAAACAGUUAUUAGCAAGAGCCGGGCAAGACCGGUGCCAGCCGCCGCGGUAAAACCGGCGGCUCGAGUGGUGACCACUAUUAUUGGGUCUAAAGGGUUCGUAGCCGGCUUAGUAAGUUUCUUGGGAAAUCUGGCGGCUUAACCGUCAGGCUGCCGAGGGAUACUGUUAGGCUUGAGACCGGGAGGGGCUAGAGGUACCUCAGGGGUAGGGGUGAAAUCCUGUGAUCCCUGUGAGACCGCCAGUAGCGAAGGCGUCUAGCUAGAACGGAUCUGACGGUGAUGAACGAAAGCUAGGGGCACGAACCGGAUUAGAUACCCGGGUAGUCCUAGCCGUACGAUGCGAGCUAGGUGUCACAGUAGCUGCGAGCUACUGUGGUGCCGUAGGGUAGCCAUGAAGCUCGCCACCUGGGAAGUACGGCCGCAAGGCUGAAACUUAAAGGAAUUGGCGGGGGAGCACCACGACGGGUGGAGCCUGCGGUUCAAUUGGACUCAACGCCGAAAAGCUCACCGGGAGCGACAGCAGAAUGAAGGCCAGGCUGAAGACCUUGCUAGACUAGCUGAGAGGAGGUGCAUGGCCGUCGUCAGUUCGUACUGUGAAGCAUCCUGUUAAGUCAGGCAACGAGCGAGACCCGCGCCCACAGUUGCCAGCAAUCCCUCCGGGGAGAUGGGUACACUAUGGGGACCGCCUCUGCUAAAGAGGAGGAAGGAACGGGCAACGGUAGGUCAGCAUGCCCCGAAUCUCCCGGGCUACACGCGGGCUACAAUGGUCGGGACAAUGGGAAUCGACACCGAGAGGUGAAGGCAAUCUCCUAAACCCGAUCGUAGUUCGGAUUGGGGGCUGAAACUCGCCCCCAUGAAGAUGGAAUCCGUAGUAAUCGCGUCUCAAAAUGUCGCGGUGAAUACGUCCCUGCUCCUUGCACACACCGCCCGUCAAACCACCCGAGUGAGGUCUGGGUGAGGCUGCCUCUCAUUGGGGCAUUCGAACUUGGGUUUCGCAAGGGGGGUUAAGUCGUAACAAGGUAACC
rnacentral:rRNA from 1 species